rnacentral:tRNA from 1 species
AAUAAGGUACUAGUAUAGCUGAAAAUACACUGCUUUGUCAAGGCAGAGUCGUGGGUUAAAGCCCCACGUACCUUA